CCAGGGGCUGGGGUUGCAGCUGGUGGCAGCCUGUGCUUUAGCUGUGCAGAAUCUGCAGCUCGAACCCAGCAACCCCCAGAAAAGAAACAUAAAAUACCCAGAAGGUCUCUCCAGGUUCAACAAACUGGGCUGUAUGGCUGACACCUGAGGACAAGAAGAAAGCGCUGGCGCUUCUCUGCUGGCUUCGCUCAGGGUCGCGCUUCCCGACGUCUGUAAAUUAAACUGGGUGCUGCUCUGGCGCCAUCUAGUGAUCAUCACGUACAGCACACAAUCCAGACAGCUACAGUACAAACAGUAAAAACCAAACCAAAAUAAACCAAACCAAACCAAAACAAACCAAAACACUUUUCUCAAGGAGUUCCAGGGAGAAGGAACGGGGAGAGAGGCCAAGCAAGCCCUGAGAACUCAGCAACCGAGAGAUCAUGGUUUCUGGGAUCACGGCUUCUGGGAUUUGGGCUUUGGAUUCAGCUAGAAUUGGAUCCUAAUUCUACCACGUACUGACUGUGUGACCUUGGGAAAGUCACUUCACCUCUUUGAAGAGACCAGCCUGUGACACUGCUUGUGGAAUGGGGAGAAUACCAGCACAUCUUCAGGUACACGGAAAGCUUAGCACGGAAUGCCCAAAAGCUUUGGACAUUUAUUUCUGGCAAAAGAAAGGUGGUAAGUGAGGGCAGGUAACAGGGCACAUGUUCAGAAAAUAGGUGAUCUUUUUUGCUGCUAAGGAAGAACAGUUGUAACUGGUCAGGUCUAGGAAGCAGGGGAUAGAUCUCUUAAUCAGAGCACGUGAAGCAGGGCAUAGUGGCAUAAGCCUGUAAUUCCAGCACUCUGUGAGGCUGAGGCACAGCAGUUUAGUGACUUAGCAAGACCCAGUUUCAAAAUAAAAAUAAACAAAUACAGGGCUGGAGAUGUAGUGCUCCAUGUGAAGGGCCUGGAUUCAAGUCCCAGUGUAUGAGAGGAGCUGAGCCUCUUGCUGGAAACAGCUGUCCACUCUAGGCUGGGCCUCAGUCCCAAGCAGGCUUGUUACUAUGGUCCGGGGAGCUGUCAUCUUCCCAGGGAUCUUGUCAAGUGUCUUUCCCUGAGCAAAGAGUAGGACAAGAAGCACAGGAAAACUAGUGAGAUUUUACAUUUAUUAAAGGUAGGCAAGGAGUGCGUUCUGUAGAGUGCAGACUAGGGCCACCAAGAGAGUUUACAGUGGCCACAGAGUUAACAGCCACAGUCUUUUGUAUCCCCCCAUUAUGAUGUCAGAAUAUAACAUUCUUUGAUUGGUCCCACAUUCAGGGCUCAGGACUUAAUCUUCAUGAUUGACAGAUCACACCCACUUGCCCCAGUGAUGGGCCAUGCCUAAUCUCCUGCCUCAGAUUGGCUCACCUGGACUCAGGUAACUGAGCAGAAAUGCCAACUACCAGCUCCAUUCUCCAGAUAAAGCAGAAUGUCUCCAGCCACCACCACCCCAAACCACCAGGCCUGACCCUAUAUAUUAAUCAACUUUCCUGUUGUGAGGGAAAAUAUUUGGUGCCCAUAGCUAAAAGGAAGAGAGGUUUAUUUUGGCUCAUGGUUCGGGGGUCCAGUCCAUGGUUAGGUAACUCCAAGGCAUACAUAGCAUGGUAGAAGGACCCAGGAGAAGAAAGCUGCUCACCUAAUAGCAGCCAAGAAGCAGGGAGAAAAAGGAAGAGUUGGGGACAAGACUAUACCAUUCUGGGUCACAACCCCAGUGACCACACCCCUGCUGACCAAGCAGGCCCAAUCUCCGAACACAAGACUUUUGGGGAACAUUCUGGACCUAAACCAAAACACCCUGUUCCACCUGAUUCCUCUUGGUUCUUGUCCAACAUCGAUAAGCUACAGUGCUGUCUCCACGAGCUGUAUCUCUUGGUUUCCUCAUGCCUCUCUUGCUGUUCCUUCCCAGGCUCCUUUGUGAGUCUCCUGUUGGAGCUCCCUUCCUUAGCACUCUUCAAGGCCCUGUACUGUUUUCCUUCUUGCUCUCCAUAGUCUUCCUGGGCCAUUUCACCCAACCCCACCCAUUUGCUUUCAUCAGACUGUAGACCUGCUUAUCCAGCGGCAUUCACAGGCAUCACCAACUGGCCGCGUCCCAGAUGAAAUUAUCUUCAUGCCCACAAACCCGCUCUUCUUCCUGUGUAGCCUACGCAGCUAGUGGUUACACCCUCUGUCCUACUGCUUAAGCCAGAAAUAUGGGUUCAGCCUGGAGUAUUCUGUCUCUCCUCCACCAGAAGUAUUAUCACUGAGUCCCAGUGACUGCACCCCAUGUAUGUUUAUCUCCCCCACCUGCUUCUCUCCAUCCCCGCUUUGCCCAACUCAGCCUGGCAUCCUUUUUGCUUGGGUUAUUACACUGGCCUCUUGAUUUGACUCCUUGAUUUGACUGCUGUCUUGUUUUCCCCUUUUUUGUUCCCACCCCUUUUGUUCCUCUCUAGAUACUCUAAGAGGGAAUUCAUUUCUCAGUGUUUUCCACCUUCUAGAACUUUCCUGCCCUUCCUCCAUCCUCAAAUUCAGCAAAAUUAUAUCUCUUUGUGACGAUUCCCCAUCAGUAAAACCUCACUCUGCUUCCCUCAUCUGUCUUCCUCUUCUCUCUAAAGGAUCUUUGCAAUUACACUGAGCCCAUCCUGUUAAUCUAGGAUGAUAUUAUCUGCAUCCCCCCCAACAACCUUAUCUUGAUCACAUCUGCAAAGCCCAUUUUUGUAAUGUAAUGUAGUAAUUCACAGGUUCUGUGUUUUAAGGACUUGAGCAUGUUUGAAAGGACAUUUUUGCUAUCUGCUAUCUGGCCCCAGUGUACACAUGUCUGUCCUAUGUGUAAAAUAUAUGCUCUCAUUACAAGGCCCCCAAAAGUCUUGGCUCGUUAAAGUGUCAGAGUUCAAAUCUGGGACUGAUCUAAAUCUCACCACCACAAAAGUUUAUUUAGCUUGUAAGUAGGCAAUCAGGACAGCCUAAGAUAGAACUGGAUAAAAGAAAAUAGCACACACCGAGUGAAGAGGGUAAAAUUUGUUUUGAGCAGCAAGUUAAGUUUAAACAAGUUAAAGAGGAAAACACACACAUGCAAAACCUCGAAAGGUUUGGGAUAAGAAUGGGCAGAAAAUGACCUUUUUCCUAGGAAGAAGAUUUUUAUGCAGAGUUGGCUUAGUGGACAGUUUCUCCUUCCUCCUGACUAGACUUCCAGAAACAUUAGAAAUGCAAAAUAGCUGAUUUCCUUUGAAAUCUUUCCUUUUGAAACAAGCUCCCCACAUCCCCCUGCUUAUUCUAUAAGAGCAGGACAGAGAACAAUUUGGACUUCCAUUCAAAAUUCAGUUCCCUCUUGGUGAAAGCAGGUAUUUCUCUUCUUCAUGUUUCCAAGAAAUACUCUUCUAGCGCCCUAUUUUUGUCCAUGAUUUCAUUCUUCGACUUUGUGAAUUGAUCAGCUCAGAUUCAUGCAAAAUUCAGUACUUCAAAGUUAACCAAAUUAGGCACCGAAGGAGACUUGUCAUAUAUAUGAUACAGUGAAGCCACAUCCCUCUCCCCCUGUGGACACAUGAAACUAGAAAACAAAUUUUACCCCUUAAAUACAGAGUUGGGACUGACACAGGACAACAGCCCCAGGAGGAAGGACAAAAUGGAAGAAUCAGAACAGUCAGUCCUGAGCAAUUUCAAAAUGAAGCCAAAGUCCACCAGAUUUCCAGACCUGGGAUUAAUCUGUGGCGUGGGACUCUACUCUCCAAACGGGCCACUCUUCCACUAGGACAGGUAUUCUUUCUUCAUGACAGACAGCACAGAUUGCAACUGUGCAGGCUCAUCAACAUAUUUCUCUUCUGCAGCAUUUGGGGGAUCUACAGCCUUUUUCUUUCAUUUCAUAUCCUUUGUAUGCCUUUUAGUCCAAGCUCCAGUGCUUCUGCUGGUAUUAAAUUGUCAAUAACUUUGAGGGUCUCCUGUGUGUCUGGGGAUUCACUCCAUUAGACAAAAGGUUCCCUUGCAGAAUUUCCCUGGAGAACCCAUUUCUAGUUUUGGCUUGCAUCGUGGUAGGCAACAGGAUAUGAAAAUGACACAAUUAAUCUGUUCCAAAAGCCUUUUCUGUGAGAGAAUACUCUGACCUUUUAAUCUUACUGAAAUAUGAGCAAUAUCUUCAGCCUUUUCUCUGACAUGUACUUUCCUGACAGUAAACAGUGACAUUUUAACGUCUUUUGCAAACUGGAUAUGCUGAUAUUUCCCCAACUCAUCUAGUUCUGAAAACAAGCUAUUUUAACAGUUCUUUUCUCAAUGUAUACUAUACCCUCACAUUUUAUUGUAAGCAGCAGGAAGAAGCCAAGCCAUGCCCUACAACACUUUGUUUGGAAGUUUGCUCAACUACACAGUCAUGUUCAUGGUUUGUAAGUUCUGCUUUCUACAUAACUGCAAAGCACAAUUCUAAAUUUUUUUGUUCCAUGUAACAAGGAUCACGUUUUUGUUCCAAUUUCCAGUAACACAUUCUGCACUUCCUUCUUAUUUGUAAGUGCCUUCAAAUCCACAUUUCUUUUUCUUUUUGGUACUGGGAGUCGAACUCAUGACCUCAUGCUUGCCAGGUAGGCACUGUGCUGCUAAACUAUAUUCCUGGACCUCACAUCCACAUUUCCAUAAAUUCUCUUUACCAACACUCAGGGACUCUCUUAGCUGGUUUAUAUAUUUUUUACCAUGUUCCCCAGAUUCUUUCCCAGCCUUCACUAGUGGAAUCCUUAAUAGUUGUAUUUCUGCUAAUAGUCGGUUCAUGGCAAUCUUGGCUUUUAAAAAUCAUGCACCUCAGAAUUUUUCCUGCCACUUUCCAGUAUCCAGUUUGGUGGCACCAAAACCUGUAUUCAUUUUCUGUUGCUCCUCUAAGAAAGCAUCACAAAACUUAGUGGCUGAACACAGAAUAAUUUUUUUCUUUUAGUACUGGGGACUGAACCAAAAGUCUUUGCCUUGUUCUCUAUCCCCAGCCCCAUUUUAAAAUUUUUAAAUCUUGAGACAGGGUCUUGCUAAAUUACUGAGUGGCUCAGACUAGGCUCAAAUUUGAGAUCCUUUUGCCUCAGCCUUUCAGACUGCUGGACUUAGCAGUGUGUACCACCAUGUCUCGGCCAAGUUUAUUAUUUUAUAGUUCUGUGACUAGAAGUUCAGUUGACACUGAUCCAAAAUCAGGACAUGAGCAAGACUGUGCUCUUUUCUAGAAGCUGUAGAGGAGACUCCUAUCUCCUUUCCUUUACAACCUUUUUGAGCCUUCCUACAAUUAAUAUAGUUUAUCACUUAAAAUAUAUUAAAAUUUGUAUGUAUGUAUUAUUCUAUGCGUUUAUGUUAAGAAAAUAGAACUUCAAGAAUUAGAAUUCUUAGCUGGGCAUGGUGGCUCAUGCCUGUAAUCUCAGGACUUGGGAGGCUGAAGCAGGAGGAUUGUUGUGAUUUUGAGACCAGCCUACAAAGUGGGCUACAAAGUGAGCUCAAGGCCAGCCUGAACUACACAGUGAGACCCUAUCUCAAAAAGACUAAAUAAAUAAAUAAGAAUUCUUGCCAGAUAUGGUGGCAUAUGGCUGCAAUACCAGGAUUCAGCAGGGGGAUUGCAGUGAGUCCAAGGCCACCCUAGGCUACAUAGCAAGACUGUGUCUCAAAGAAAACCCAAAACAAGCCAAGGGCCUAGUUCAGUGGCACAAGUGCCUGCCUGGCAAGCAUGAGAUUUCAAGUUCAAUACUCAGUGCCUAAAAAAGAAAAGAAAAAUGCCAAAACAUUUUAAAAGUUAAAAUUCUUGGGCCAGGGGUAUAGUUCUGCAGCAUAGUGCCUGCCUGACAAGUGCAAGGUCCUCAGUUCAAUUUCCGGUACCAAAAAAAAAAAAAAAAAAAAGGAUUAUUUUCUAUGAACACCAGCUACUGGCUCAGACUUCCAGGCCUAGGGCAGAAGCAUCCCCAAGUGUGGAUGAAGGAGCAGUGUGUGGGUACAUGGUUGCCCCAGGGCCAGAGUAGUUUCUGUGGGGAAGGAAGGGAGAUGAAAGGCCCUGGGGCUGUUCAGUGUCUUAAUGUAUUCCUCUCCCCUCUCUUCCUACUAGAAAAGUUCCUUCCACACUUGAACUCGGCAAGAUGGUGAUUUGGAGCAAAGGGUCAUGAGGCACAGUUAGUUGUAUCUUCUAGUCAUAUUUUUUCAAAUGUAUUUUGAUGUCUUCACUUUGUCAGCAAUUGAAAAUAAUGGUUAAAGUUUAAUCAUUGCUUUAUGA